GGAAUUCCUGGUGGACAAAGAAGACAGAAAAUCUAGAGGCAAAUUCAGUCUGUCAUCAAACUAACGACACACUCCAAUAAAACCGGAAUUUUGAACUGGGUCAUUAUCAUCUUUCCCCCGGAAUGUAUUCAUAGGGAAUGUCUCAAACACAUAAUCAAAUCUUUCCAUCUUCCUUUCAUUACAUAGCUCUUCCCAGAACAGAUUAAAGCUGAAAAGGUGAUCAGUGUUCAACGGCACCAAUAAUUCCCACUGCAAAUCAGCAGCCUGUCUACCGAGGAGAGGGGAGAAGAGUUGCUUCUCAGAAGGCUGAAAAAUAAUAGUAAGGAAGAGGUCCAAAAUGGAUCCUUCCGUGCUUAGUAGUGAAAUAGACUGCUGGUGUUUAGGAGGGAGGCCUGCUUGACACCAUUUCAAAGUCCCAAAAGUUCACUCUUGAGAAUCGAAAGGAUAUGGUAAGAUAACAUAUGAUAUACAUCGUUAUAAGUAGGAGGAUACUUUUGCCAAGUGAAUGUUAAUAAAGUCUUUGCCCCUUCUCUUUUGGCCAAGGAUCCCAAAGCUCUUUACGAGCUACUGUGUACGGCAAGUGAAUUCUACGAUGAGUGCUGAACGUUUAAGCCCCACAGUGAAAGUCUUAAUGGAGCUCAGAUGAGGAAACUGAGGUCGCCAUCAGUACAAAUUUCCCCAAUGCCACGCACAGCUGGUGACUGGAUGUAGCUGGGAUGUGAAUGCAGACAGACUAGCUCCAGCGUCUGUGGUCUUCAACCAUACUCUGUGCUUGCAAUGCCUGAAAUGCUGAUUUGUUGGGGUACUUAGGAACCCCAGAGAAAAGAGAUGCUUGAUAAUAUUAACAUCGAAAACAGAGGGUGAAACCUAAGAAAAAUAAUAUUUACACAAGAGAAGUCUGAAAGGAAAAGAGAGGCAUGCCUUUCAACAAAGGUGCCUAUGUGACUGGCCUUUUACUUGCUUCAAAUGAAAGGUGGCUUAUGAUCAUUUUUGGCCCUUUAGGAAAAUAAUAGAUUGUGUUUUAGUCUUCAGUUACCUGGGCUGUAAUCCCAUCGCUUUGCUGAAAGUUUUAUGUAAAUAAAGAUGCAAGAAAAGACCAAAAUGAGCAGCUGGUGUUAUUUCUGUUCUGAAACAGGUACGUUCUGAUUGGAAAAGACGUUUAAUGAAUGGCCUGAGCCGACUCACCAGAUGCUGACAAUGAAACAUUUAACUCUACCAAUUGAAGGUUUCUGCCUCGGAAGAUUAGGUACACCUUCACCUGCCUGACAGCGUUGUAGGAGUAAUUAGCAAGCAGGGAAUUCAAGAAUGAAUUAAAGAACUGAGCCACAGAGGCUUCAUUCAAACGCCGGCUGUGUCUUCCAGGAUGGGGUCACCAUAUUUAUGGAGACAAGGUGGGCAGGAAGUAGAUGGACAUGACUUUUUUUUCCUUUUCUAGGCUGUGAAGGAAGAGUCUUUUGUCUUCUUAUGAGAAAAUCUGGCUAAUAUUCAUGCUCACAGGACAC